AUUGAACGCUGGCGGCAUGCUUUACACAUGCAAGUCGAACGGUAACAGGUUAAGCUGACGAGUGGCGAACGGGUGAGUAAUGCAUCGGAACGUGCCCGGUCGUGGGGGAUAACACUUCGAAAGAAGUGCUAAUACCGCAUACGAUCUAAGGAUGAAAGCGGGGGACUGUAAGGCAUCGCGCGAUCGGAGCGGCCGAUGUCAGAUUAGGUAGUUGGUGGGGUAAAGGCCUACCAAGCCGACGAUCUGUAGCUGGUCUGAGAGGACGACCAGCCACACUGGGACUGAGACACGGCCCAGACUCCUACGGGAGGCAGCAGUGGGGAAUUUUGGACAAUGGGCGCAAGCCUGAUCCAGCAAUGCCGCGUGCAGGAAGAAGGCCUUCGGGUUGUAAACUGCUUUUGUACGGAGCGAAAAGGCUCUCUCUAAUACAGGGGGCUGAUGACGGUACCGUAAGAAUAAGCACCGGCUAACUACGUGCCAGCCGCCGCGGUAA
rnacentral:rRNA from 1 species